AUCAUUACAGAAAGCUGUAUACCUGCACAAGUGGUGGCUGCCAUUGAUGUCAACACUGUCGCUAAUGAAGUAUACAAGUAUAAUUUUCCUCACACACAGUUACUUGCCAAGACGAUUGAAGACCUCUUGAUACAAACAAUAGAAAAUUGUGGCUUUCAGUACCAAGAGUUUCUAUUAUCUCCAACCUCCUUGGCAUUCCAAAUUCAAGGCUACGAUAUUUUCUUAUUGCAAAGCUUCAGUCAGAGCCAUUACCCUUUCAAGCCC
rnacentral:lncRNA from 1 species